rnacentral:rRNA from 1 species
UACGUAGGGGGCAAGCGUUUGUCCGGAUUUACUGGGCGUAAAGAGCGUGUAGGCGGCCAAACAGGUCCGUUGUGAAAACUGGAGGCUCAACUUCCAGACGUCGACGGAAACCGUGUGGCUAGAGUUCGGUAGGGGAGACUGGAAUUCCUGGUGUAGCGGUGGAAAUGCGCAGAUAUCAGGAGGAACACCGGUGGCGAAGGCGGGUCUCUGGGCCGAAGCUGACGCUGAGGAGCGAAAAGCGUGGGGGAGCAAACAGG